rnacentral:rRNA from 1 species
AUGGCUUUGGCAAUCGCAGAUGUUUUCAAGAACACAAUACAUAAGCUAUGCCGCUGGCACAUUAUGAAGAAGUACAGGGAACACUUUGUGUACCUGUAUUUCCUGCAUGAGGACCUUAAAGAUGAAUUCACAUCAAUUCUCAACUGGCCCCUCAUGCCAACUGAGUUUGAGGAUGCCUGGAAAAGACUCAUGGAUAAGUACAACCUCCAUGAUGAUGCCACAAUGGUGGGCAUGUGGAACGAGCGUGAGAAGUGGAUAUCAACCUACUUCAAAGAAAUUUUCUGCGCCAAAAUGACAUCCACACAGCGAAGUGAGAGCAUGAACUAUAUGCUCAAGAAGAACUACGUAAAUGAGAGACAUAACCUACACCGGUUUGUCAGUCAGAAGGAACAAAACACGCUGACCUACUAUGGGAUUGACACCCAGAUGGCAAAGCUGUACACACGAGCUGUGUACAGCGAGAUCAGAGAUAGGCUGAAACUGAGCACGCUCUUCACGGCGACAGAGACGGAAGGGCCCACAAAGUACCUAGUGCGCUACAACCACCCGCAAAAACUAUCUGUGUGGGCUCAGCACGCGUUCCAGGUGGUGGCAGACCCCGUGGGACAAACAUAUGAGUGCGAGUGCAGGCUAUGGGACCACAUAGGUGAGGAGUACAAAAAAGAUGUUACAUACUGUACUACUUUUUUUGCAAAGUUUUUGUUUGAACAAAAUGACAAAAAACAUGCACCUCUUCCAAAAACAAAUACAGGUCUUUUCUGUGUGCAUGUCCUGUGCAUGAUGCAGACAAUUAAGGCUACCAGCGUUCCAGAGAAAUACAUACUCAGGAGAUACACCAAACGCCCGAACAUCCAGCCAACAUUUGAUAGAAAUGACUUGAGGACAGUAGCGUCAAACAAGGCAUCCCAAUACUGCAUUGAAAGCUCACUGCUGACGCUGAACAUGAGGGUGCACAGAAAAAGCUUAGAAGCCAAGAGCAAAUGGCAAGGUCGCGGGUCGUUAUGGACAAACUUGAAAAAGAACUCGACGCCAUGCAUUCUGCUGAAAAUGGAGGUGUCGCGGACAAUGAAGCCAUUGACCAGGAUAUUGCUACAAUGCGAACGACAUGACAAUAGCACAUCCUACCAGCAGCAGCAGGAAAGGGUGAUUAAACCCCCAAUAUUCUCAAACACAAAGGGGAGGCAGAGCAAGAUGCAAGCAGCUAAAGCUGCGAAAGCAGCAGCCAAAAAGCUGCCACGACCCAUCAAGCGCGUGGAAUUUGGCCUGGACGGCAAACCCCUCGGGGUAAGGGCAUGCGGUUUCUGCAACGUCGGGAGCAACCAUAACUACCGCACAUGCCCACUCCGCACAGAUGCCACUGUCAACAAGAACAACCAGAUUGGAGCCACCCAGCUUUCUACCAAUGGAGACAACAAACAUAACAACUACUCUUGCCGCAAGUGUGGCGGAACUGACGGACAUAAUGCCCGCACGUGCAAAGUGGGCAAGGAGGUGAGUGGAGCUGAACAUAAACAGGGCAAGGUGCGGAGAUCCAAGCAAUCAAAUGAAGACGAUGAAGAAGAAGAGUUUGAUUAG